rnacentral:lncRNA from 1 species
UCCGUUUUUUCCCAUCCCAUAGUUUCCCGAUUCCUCAAGGGCUUGGAGCGACUCUAUCUCCAGGUCAGACAACCAGCCCCUACCUGGGACCUGAACCUUGUCUUAUCCAGGCUCAUGGGACCCACCCUUUGAGCCUUUUAGCCACAUGCUCGCUGCUGUACCUGUCCUGGAAGACAGCAUUCCUAGUUGCUGUCACUUCAGCCAGACGGGUCUCGGAACUUAAAGCUUUAACUGUGGAUCCCCCGUACACAGUGUUCCAUAAGGACAAGGUACAGCUGCGACCACACCCGGCGUUCCUCCCUAAGGUCAUCUCCUCCUUUCAUGUCAAUCAGGACAUCUUCCUACCAGUCUUUUUCCCAAAACCGCACUCAUCGCGACGGGAACAGCAGCUGCAUACUCUGGAUGUUCGCAGGGCUCUCGCGUUUUACAUCAAGAGAACCAGACCCUUCCAACGUUCACCUCAGCUAUUUGUGGCGGUGGCAGAACAUAUGAGGGGCAUGGCAGUCUUCUCCCAGAGGGUCGCUUCUUGGGUGACAUCCUGUAUUCGGACAUGCUACGACUUGGCGCAGGUCCCGACUGGCCAUCUUACCGUCCACUCUAUGUGGGCUCAAGCUUCAUCUGCCGCAUUUCUGGCCCAUAUUCCCAUACAAGAAAUAUGCUGCGCGGCCACCUGGUCUUCCGUCCACAUCUUUGCAUCCCACUAUGCAUUGGUCCAACAGUCUAGGGACGAUGCCGCCUUCGGCUCAGCGGUCUUACAUUCCGCAACGUCUCCCUCUGACCCAACCGCCUAGGUAAGGCUUGGGAAUCACCUAACUGGAAUGGAUAUGAGCAAGCACUUGAAGAAGAAAAGACGGUUACUCACCUUUGUAACUGUUCUUCGAGAUGUGUUGCUCAUAUCCAUUCCACACCUGCCCUCCUUCCCCACUGUCGGAGUAGCCGGCAAGAAGGAACUGAGGAGCAGAUGGGCUGGCAGGGAUAUAUAUUGGGCGCCAUGGCGGCACCACUCCAGGGGGCGCCCUGCCAGCCCACUGAGUGUUGCUAGGGUAAAAAUCUCCAAACGUGC